GAUGAACGCUAGCUACAGGCUUAACACAUGCAAGUCGAGGGGCAGCAUGGUCUUAGCUUGCUAAGGCCGAUGGCGACCGGCGCACGGGUGAGUAACACGUAUCCAACCUGCCGUCUACUCUUGGACAGCCUUCUGAAAGGAAGAUUAAUACAAGAUGGCAUCAUGAGUCCGCAUGUUCACAUGAUUAAAGGUAUUCCGGUAGACGAUGGGGAUGCGUUCCAUUAGAUAGUAGGCGGGGUAACGGCCCACCUAGUCUUCGAUGGAUAGGGGUUCUGAGAGGAAGGUCCCCCACAUUGGGUACUGAGACACGGCCCAGACUCCUACGGGAGGCAGCAGUAGGGAAUCUUCGGCAAUGGGGGCAACCCUGACCGAGCAACGCCGCGUGAGUGAAGAAGGUUUUCGGAUCGUAAAGCUCUGUUGUAAGAGAAGAACGUGUGU
rnacentral:rRNA from 1 species